UUUUUAGGAUCAUUACAAGUCUGCAUUUUUUUUCUUCAAUGGAACAUUCUACAACGACACACGGUUCCCAGAAUGUCAAGACAUCAGCACGGCCAUAAAAGAGUGGACACGAAGCAGAGACUUUCCAGAUUUCAAGACUGCAAGGAUGGAAGAAACAUCUUUCAAUGACCUGCGGAUGAAAGUCGGGUUUCCAUACUUAUACACUCACCAGGGUGAUUGUGAGCAUGUUGUUGUCCUUACUGAUGUCAGAUUGGUCCAUCAGGAUGACUGUUUGGACAUAAAGCUCUACCCACUUAUCACUCACAAGCAUAGAGUCAUGACUCGGAAGUGUUCUGUGUGUCAUCUCUAUAU